CUUGUGAACACCAAGACACUGAAUCCUUCAGGCAGCUCAUUGGGUGUUACUCUUGUUCCACACAUGAGGAACUUGUCAGAGAACUUUACUUACCACAAUGAUACAGAUAACGGUUAUGGAGUGUUAGCUCCUGUUCUAGGAAUAGAGAAUCUGUCGGUAAACAGCAGAAGGCAAUUAUUCAAAGGAUCACGCGGACUGGAUCGUAGGAGGAGCUCUAAGGGUAACUGACCUUGGGUUCUCUCCAGCACGCAGCAUCACAGGAGACACCUGCAGGGAAUAAGGAAGCCUCAGCCCCAGCUCACUGACUCCGUGUGCUCCACGGCAGCAGCGAUGCUUCUCAAACGUCUGUGGGCAUCAGGAGAAAGGCAGAUCAGGGUUGUGACACAGCCCACAGUCGCCUCCUCACCACGGUGGAAGGAUGCCUGCGUUUGUGAUUGCACGCUUGAUCAACACGGUUCUCCAGAAAGAGGCUGAGGAUUGGAAAAUAUUUUUUUAAGUGACAGUUACUUGAGCUGGUUGAGAUGCGCACUGUUGGCACCAACAUGGACAGACGACCGUUUGACAGUAUCCGUGAAAGUAAAAAGGCAUGUUUGUAACUGGACAAAAAAUGCUCUAUUUUAGAAAUCUCUUCCUCAGAACCUGCUCUUACUGGACAAAUCUGUACAUUUAUGACUCUUCACCUUAUUAUUUAUCUUUUAAAAGUUUUGGCUCAGCCAUAUAUACACAAGCUUAAAACGAAAAACAAUGUAUAAUGUGCGCAGAAGAGACAGUUGCUUCGUUACCCCUAUAAUGGCUCAUCUCUGCCAAGACCAAGAUAACUCCUUUAUUAGUUUUUGCAGAGUUUUUACACAACUACAGCAAAUGAAAAUAUAUAGUUAAAGGGUGGUUUAGAAAUUGCAGACCGAUGCUUCUGUAAAAAAACAAACCUGUGAAGUAAAGCACAGCAUUCAUUUGCAGUCCUCUAAGUGAAGCCUGAUGGUCAAAUGCCCCAUCCUGAAGGUAUUUGGUUAAUCUCCCCGCAGGCCGCCCGCCCCAGUCCCAAAGGAUGGUCGUCAUUCAUUCUAAAUACAG
rnacentral:lncRNA from 1 species